rnacentral:rRNA from 3 species
AGACCCGAAACCCGGUGAUCUAGCCAUGGGCAGGUUGAAGGUUGGGUAACACUAACUGGAGGACCGAACCGACUAAUGUUGAAAAAUUAGCGGAUGACCUGUGGCUGGGGGUGAAAGGCCAAUCAAACCGGGAGAUAGCUGGUUCUCCCCGAAAGCUAUUUAGGUAGCGCCUCGUGAAUUCAUCUCCGGGGGUAGAGCACUGUUUCGGCUAGGGGGCCAUCCCGGCUUACCAACCCGAUGCAAACUGCGAAUACCGGAGAAUGUUAUCACGGGAGACACACGGCGGGUGCUAACGUCCGUCGUGAAGAGGGAAACAACCCAGACCGCCAGCUAAGGUCCCAAAGUCAUGGUUAAGUGGGAAACGAUGUGGGAAGGCCCAGACAGCCAGGAUGUUGGCUUAGAAGCAGCCAUCAUUUAAAGAAAGCGUAAUAGCUCACUGGUCGAGUCGGCCUGCGCGGAAGAUGUAACGGGGCUAAACCAUGCACCGAAGCUGCGGCAGCGAACGUAUCACCCAAGACAACUUUACGGAGUUGACGAUUGACGGAGCGAAGCGACGUCAAAGCGUUCAUUAAAGUCGAGUUGGCUUAGGGAUACGUUCGUUGGGUAGGGGAGCGUUCUGUAAGCCUGUGAAGGUGUGUCGUGAGGCAUGCUGGAGGUAUCAGAAGUGCGAAUGCUGACAUAAGUAACGAUAAAGCGGGUGAAAAGCCCGCUCGCCGGAAGACCAAGGGUUCCUGUCCAACGUUAAUCGGGGCAGGGUGAGUCGACCCCUAAGGCGAGGCCGAAAGGCGUAGUCGAUGGGAAACGGGUUAAUAUUCCCGUACUUGGUGUUACUGCGAAGGGGGGACGGAGAAGGCUAUGUUGGCCGGGCGACGGUUGUCCCGGUUUAAGCGUGUAGGUGUGUGUUCCAGGUAAAUCCGGUUCACUUUAACACUGAGGCGUGACGACGAGGCACUACGGUGCUGAAGCAACAAAUGCCCUGCUUCCAGGAAAAGC